rnacentral:rRNA from 1 species
UACGGGGGGAGCAAGCGUUGUUCGGAUUUACUGGGCUUAAAGGGUGCGUAGGCGGCGCGGAAAGUAGGGUGUGAAAUCCCUCGGCUCAACCGAGGAAUUGCGCCCUAAACUACCGUGCUCGAGGGAGAUAGAGGUGAGCGGAACUUAGGGUGGAGCGGUGAAAUGCGUUGAUAUCCUAAGGAACACCGGUGGCGAAAGCGGCUCACUGGAUCUCUUCUGACGCUGAGGCACGAAAGCUAGGGUAGCGAACGGG